rnacentral:rRNA from 1 species
UACGUAGGGGGCAAGCGUUGUCCGGAUUCAUUGGGCGUAAAGAGCUCGUAGGCGGUUCGGCAAGUCGGGUGUGAAAACUCCAGGCUCAACCUGGAGACGCCACCCGAUACUGCUGUGACUUGAGUCCGGUAGGGGACCACGGAAUUCCUGGUGUAGCGGUGAAAUGCGCAGAUAUCAGGAGGAACACCGGUGGCGAAGGCGGUGGUCUGGGCCGGCACUGACGCUGAGGAGUGAAAGCGUGGGGAGCGAACAGG